AACGAACGCUGGCGGCAGGCUUAACACAUGCAAGUCGAGCGCCCCGCAAGGGGAGCGGCAGACGGGUGAGCAACGCGUGGGAACGUACCCUUUGCUACGGAAUAGCUCCGGGAAACUGGAAUUAAUACCGUAUGUGCCCUACGGGGGAAAGAUUGAUCGGCAAAGGAUCGGCCCGAGUUGGAUUAACUAGUUGGUGGGGUAAUGGCCUACCAAGGCGACGAUCCAUAGCUGGUCUGAGAGGAUGAUCAGCCACAUUGGGACUGAGACACGGCCCAAACUCCUACGGGAGGCAGCAGUGGGGAAUAUUGGACAAUGGGCGCAAGCCUGAUCCAGCCAUGCCGCGUGAGUGAUGAAGGCCUUAGGGUUGUAAAGCUCUUUCACCGGAGAAGAUAAUGACGGUAUCCGGAGAAGAAGCCCCGGCUAACUUCGUGCCAGCAGCCGCAGUAAAAC
rnacentral:rRNA from 1 species